UGGGGAAUUUUGGACAAUGGGGGAAACCCUGAUCCAGCCAUCCCGCGUGUGCGAUGAAGGCCUUCGGGUUGUAAAGCACUUUUGGCAGGAAAGAAACGUCGCGGGUUAAUACCCCGCGAAACUGACGGUACCUGCAGAAUAAGCACCGGCUAACUACGUGCCAGCAGCCGCGGUAAUACGUAGGGUGCAAGCGUUAAUCGGAAUUACUGGGUGUAAAGCGUGCGCAGGCGGUUCGGAAAGAAAGAUGUGAAAUCCCAGAGCUUAACUUUGGAACUGCAUUUUUAACUACCGGGCUAGAGUGUGUCAGAGGGAGGUGGAAUUCCGCGUGUAGCAGUGAAAUGCGUAGAUAUGCGGAGGAACACCGAUGGCGAAGGCAGCCUCCUGGGAUAACACUGACGCUCAUGCACGAAAGCGUGGGGAGCAAACAGGAUUAGAUACCCUGGUAGUCCACGCCCCUAAACGAUGUGCAACUAGCUGUUGGGGCCUUCGGGCCUUGGUAGCGCAGCUAACGCGUGAAGUUGACCGCCUGGGGAGUACGGUCGCAAGAUUAAAACUCAAAUGAAUUGACGGGGUCAUAGCUGUUUCC
rnacentral:rRNA from 1 species